UGAAAACAGUCUCCCCGUUUCAGACCUGCCUCUGUCAUAGGUUUAUCUCCUCCACCGCUACCAUCAAACUAGGCUUGUAUCCAGGUACAUGUAAGGCAGCAUGUGCUUCACUGAUACAUGGUCCUUGGUUCCAUCUUUGGCAUGGCUAUUUAAAAUACCGGUGUCCAAACAGUGGAAGAUCUCUAGCAAGACUACAUGAACUGGUUGAGCCUGAAAGCCCUGGUUGAGAUGGACAAUUGUCCUUGUACACCCUCUCUCUGUACAUUGAAUCAAACAUCAUUUUCUUAAAGUCAGUGUGUCAUAUGGGAGCAUAUGGCUGGCUGGCUUCCCAGGACCACAGGCAGGAAUUCAAGCAUUUCUGUGGCAGCUUCCCAAUUUUGUGCUGGAGCUGAAGCAAACAGUUGAAGAACCAUUCCCAGGAUCCAUUUUACAUGUUUCCCCCAGCAAAUGUACUGGAUUCUGCAUGAAAAGUGACUGUUCCCCUACCUCCCAGUAGAGCUAUUCCACUCCACUUCCCAAGAAAGCAGUCUCCCAAUUAGUAGUGGGUUGUUGUUGUUUCUUCACAUAUACUAAGCUGGUAUCAGCAAGCUGCUUCUGAAAUGCUCGUUUUGACAUGGUUCCCAGCUUGUCAUUGCGUUCCUCCACUGAGUUAACUACCCAAGAACUCAGCAGAAGUGAAGGAAUGUUUUCAGAACUGGAGAUUAAAACUGACAUUUCACUACAGAGGUAGUGGGGCAAUUAAAGCACCAGACUUGUGAAGAGUGCUACACGCUGCUGUGGAGAUGAGAUCGCUGUCUUCAAACAUCUAAAAGGUUGCCAUGCAGAUAGUGGAACAGACUUAUUCUCUGUUGCUCCAGAGGGCAGGACCAGAGCCAAUGGGUGGAAAUUGCAGCAAAGCAGAUCUUGCAUAAAAAUGAGGAGAAACACCCUAACAGUAAGCGCUGUUCAACAACGGAACAGACUGCCUCAAGAAGUGGGCGGCUGGGGAGGGGGGCGGCUGGCUAUCUUUUGCGAGAGGAAUUUGAGCAGGGCCUGGAUCUCUCAUGGAUGCUGUAAUUGCAUCCUGCAUUAUAGAUGUUACAUUGAGGCAACAGGUUGGACUCGAUGACCUAAGGUCUCGUCUGACUUUUUUGAUUCACAUGCACAUGACAUCAAAUUGUCUCAUGGGGAGGGACAUACUUUAAACAUAAAACCCUACAAAUGUUAAAAUGGUAUCUUCAUGCCACCACAUCUCUUGUCAGCCAAAGCCAACCUUUUUCAAAAAAAAAGAGUUUUACAUUGCUUUUGGGCUAUAUUCACGUAAGGGGAAGGAUAUUCCACAGCUGAGAGAUAGACAUGGAGAAUAUCUCCUUGUCUCCUUGCAGCUCUUACCUGGCAUAUAUAUGGUAAAUUUAGUCCAUCUUAGAAAGUGUGAUGGACCAUAAUUAGAGCCAGGCUCAGGUAUAGAUGUUGAAUCAAAGGUGUAAUAUGUGCCAGCAGCUCCAAUAGAGCUAUUCAGAUCAAAGGACGAGCCAUAGUUUGUCUGAAGUGAUUCAGUGCAUGAUGAAGUCUGCAGCCACCACAUUUUGGACAACAUUUGAACUUGCCCAAACAUUGAUUGCUGAAGAGAAUCAAGAAAACAUAAUUCUUUUUUAUUCUCAUCACUCAGUGACUGCAGAAGUCAUCAAACCACCCUGAGAUCUACAGAUGGAGGAUGAUCUGCUGCUACUACUACUAAGUACUGGAAAAAAGAGCAACUAUGUUUGCAGAACCAUAGUUUGUCUCCCAGCCCUAGGGUAUUAUUAUUUUAUGUCUUUGCAUAAGAGAAAAUUAAUGCCCAUGUAGAAAAAGUGUCCCUUUGGUAAUAUAUAAAGGGUUGCCUGAGUGUCAUUUUUGCAACAGGUACAUGCAUGUCUGUCAUGACUGCCCAUCCC
rnacentral:lncRNA from 1 species